GGUCCCCGUUCACCCUGACUCAGCCACCUUUCCAGUCAGCCCCCCCAGGAGACACGGCUCGACUCUCUUGCACAAUUAGCGUCUACACGUUUGGAGCUGUCAGCUGGUAUCAGCAAAAAGAGGGCAAGAGCCCCACAUUCACCCUGUUGCAAAAAAAGUCUGGUGAGACCAAUUUUGGAUCAGAGGUCUCUGGUAAUUUCUCAGCUUCCGUGGAGAACCCUAGAAAAGUCGCUUACUUAAUGAUCACCAAUGUGCUGGCAAAGGACGAGGCUACCUACUAUUGUGGAGCGUACUACACCAAUAGCAGUAGCUUUGUGUAA